GACGAACGCUGGCGGCGUGCUUAACACAUGCAAGUCGAACGAAGCUUGAUUACGGAUUCUUCGGAUGAAGUAUGAUAUGACUGAGUGGCGGACGGGUGAGUAGCGCGUGAGUAACCUGCCCUUCAGAGGGGGAUAGCGUUUGGAAACGAACGGUAAUACCGCAUAAUGUAUUUUGACCGCAUGAUCGAAAUACCAAAGAUUUAUCGCUGAAGGAUGGACUCGCGUCUGAUUAGGUAGUUGGUGGGGUAACGGCCUACCAAGCCGACGAUCAGUAGCCGGACUGGGAGGUUGAUCGGCCACAUUGGGACUGAGACACGGCCCAGACUCCUACGGGAGGCAGCAGUAGGGAAUAUUGCACAAUGGGCGCAAGCCUGAUUCAGCAACGCCGCGUGAAGGAAGACGGUUUUCGGAUUGUAAACUUCUGUUCUUAGUGAAGAAUAAUGACGGUAGCUAAGGAGCAAGCCACGGCUAACUACGUG
rnacentral:rRNA from 1 species